rnacentral:lncRNA from 1 species
UGGCUUCUGGAGUCUUCUAGAUGUUAAAUUAUUGCAGGGCACGUUAAUAUCUCUAUGUAAUCCCGACGUGUGGGCCAUUCUUUCGUAUUUCCUGAUAACCCCCUGCAGAAAUAGACAAACACCAAAACUCGUGGAAUUCUGUCAGAUAAAACCCUAAGUCUAGAUGUUGAUUUCAUUUGGAUCCUUUUCUUUGUUUAUUUGAUAAUUAAAUUUGAUACCUAAG